GGCAGAGAAAAUGGAAUCAAAGGAAGGUUUUCUUGGGCAGAGAGGAGUGAGAGCCUGUGUCUGCUGAUCAGCACGACUCGGUGGGAAGACCGAAGGUAGUGAUGUCCACGCAGAGUUUCUGACAGUAUCUGUACUCACCAUGAGUUCCUGUGCCAAAAAUGUCCUAUGUCUGAUUCAUUCACUCCUUUUCCCUCAUUUAAUUUAAAUUUUUUCAGCAGUAUUUUAGGAAAAGUCAACUCUCCCAGACUGCGAUUUUUCGGGCUUCUUGCCUACUCAUUUCCAUUUUCAUGGCUGAAAGGUAAAGUUUUAGUAACUUCAGCUUCAGUGCUGAACACCAGCAACCGUUCCUGUUGAUCAUAUACUCAGAAGAUGCUUGAAUUCCAG
rnacentral:lncRNA from 1 species